rnacentral:rRNA from 1 species
UACAGAGGGUGCGAGCGUUAAUCGGAAUUACUGGGCGUAAAGGGCGCGUAGGUGGAUAUAUAAGUCGGAUGUGAAAGACCUGGGCUUAACCUAGGAAUGGCAUACGAAACUGUAGAUCUAGAGUCGUGUAGAGGGAAGUGGGAAUUUCCGGUGUAGCGGUGAAAUGCGUAGAUAUUGGAAAGAACAUCAGUGGCGAAGGCGUCUUCCUGGACACAGACUGACACUGAGGCGCGAAAGCGUGGGGAGCAAACAGGAUUAGAUACCCCAGUAGU